UACUACCGAAGCUACGGCAUCAGUAAUGAUGGGUAGGGGAGCUUCCCAUACGGGUUGAAGCAUGACCGUAAGGACAUGUGGACAGUAUGGGAGUGAGAAUGUUGGCAUGAGUAGCGAGAUGUGGGUGAGAAUCCCACAGGCCGUAAACCCAAGGUUUCCAGGGGAAGGUUCGGCCGCCCUGGGUUAGUCGGGACCUAAGCUGAGGCCGAAAGGCGUAGGUGAUGGACAACAGGUUGAUAUUCCUGUACUACCGAUAACCAUUUGAGAGAAGGGAUGACACAGUAGGAUAAGCUAAGCACACUGUUGGUUAUGUGUGCCCAAGCAUUGAGGCAGUCAAAGUAGGCAAAUCCGCUUUGAUAAUGCUGGGAUGGGAUGGGGAGCGAAAUU
rnacentral:rRNA from 1 species